rnacentral:rRNA from 1 species
GAUCAUGGCUCAGAUUGAACGCUGGCGGCAUGCCUUACACAUGCAAGUCGAACGGUAACAGGUCUUCGGGAUGCUGACGAGUGGCGAACGGGUGAGUAAUACAUCGGAACGUGCCCGAUCGUGGGGGAUAACGAAGCGAAAGCUUUGCUAAUACCGCAUACGAUCUACGGAUGAAAGCAGGGGACCGCAAGGCCUUGCGCGAACGGAGCGGCCGAUGGCAGAUUAGGUAGUUGGUGGGGUAAAGGCUCACCAAGCCAACGAUCUGUAGCUGGUCUGAGAGGACGACCAGCCACACUGGAACUGAGACACGGUCCAGACUCCUACGGGAGGCAGCAGUGGGGAAUUUUGGACAAUGGACGCAAGUCUGAUCCAGCCAUUCCGCGUGCAGGAUGAAGGCCCUCGGGUUGUAAACUGCUUUUGUACGGAACGAAACGGUCUGCCCUAAUACGGCGGGCUAAUGACGGUACCGUAAGAAUAAGCACCGGCUAACUACGUG